rnacentral:rRNA from 1 species
GACGAACGCUGGCGGCGUGCCUAAUACAUGCAAGUUGAGCGCUGAAGGUUGGUACUUGUACCAACUGGAUGAGCAGCGAACGGGUGAGUAACGCGUGGGGAAUCUGCCUUUGAGCGGGGGACAACAUUUGGAAACGAAUGCUAAUACCGCAUAAAAACUUUAAACACAAGUUUUAAGUUUGAAAGAUGCAAUUGCAUCACUCAAAGAUGAUCCCGCGUUGUAUUAGCUAGUUGGUGAGGUAAAGGCUCACCAAGGCGAUGAUACAUAGCCGACCUGAGAGGGUGAUCGGCCACAAUGGGACUGAGACACGGCCCAAACUCCUACGGGAGGCAGCAGUAGGGAAUCUUCGGCCAUGGACGAAAGUCUGACCGAGCAACGCCGCGUGAGUGAAGGAGGUUUUCGGAUCGUAAAACUCUGUUGGUAGAGAAGAACGUUGGUGAGAGUGGAAAGCUCAUAAAGUGACGGUAACUACACAGAAAGGGACGGCUAACUACGUG